rnacentral:rRNA from 1 species
GGCGUAAAGAGCUCGUAGGCGGUUUGUCACGUCUGCUGUGAAAUUUCGAGGCUCAACCUCGAACUUGCAGUGGGUACGGGCAGGCUAGAGUGCGGUAGGGGAGAUGGGAAUUCCUGGUGUAGCGGUGGAAUGCGCAGAUAUCAGGAGGAACACCAAUGGCGAAGGCACAUCUCUGGGCCGUAACUGACGCUGAGGAGCAAAAGCGUGGGGAGCGAACAGGAUUAGAUACCCUGGUAGUCCACGCCGUAAACGGUGGGUGCUAGCUGUGGGCCACAUUCCACGUGGUCCGUGACGAAGUUAACACAUUAAGCACCCCGCCUGGGGAGUACGGCCGCAAGGCUAAAACUCAAAGGAAUUGACGGGGGCCCGCACAAGCGGCGGAGCAUGCGGAUUAAUUCGAUGCAACGCGAAGAACCUUACCAAGGCUUGACAUAUAGAGGAAAAGUGCAGAAAUGUACUCCCCGCAAGGUCUCUAUACAGGUGGUGCAUGGUUGUCGUCAGCUCGUGUCGUGAGAUGUUGGGUUAAGUCCCGCAACGAGCGCAACCCUCGUCCUAUGUUGCCAGCACGUAAUGGUGGGAACUCAUGGGAUACUGCCGGGGUCAACUCGGAGGAAGGU